UGAUGAAUAUCUUGCCAAUGUUUGUUCAGGUGUCCCUACUUAAGUCAUCAACUGUAACAGCUUCAACUUCGAGUUCUGCUGCCAAAAUAUCUUUAUCUCUGGUUCCAACUUCAAAUAGUGGGUAUGUAUGCCUCUUGAUAUAUAAAUUUUCUUCUAUCUUUUUGUUCAGUAUAUAUAAAGAUAAUUUGAUUCCCAUUCUUUGAAAAAAAUUUAUUUUUAAAUAUUAUUUUAACAUCAUUUCAACCACACAUUUUUUAAUAAAAUAGUAUUACACGUAAAUUCAAAUCUCUUCCUCAUUUUUUAACCACACACUUCCCAUCAAUACACUAUUCAAAAAUUCAUUCCAAUUAAAAGAAUGGGGCACAAAGGCAAAAUUUCAAAGUUUAGAUUAUAGUGAUAGAUGAAACUUAUUGCUUGUUCUGGUACUUUAGUUCUUACCGAUAUUACUCAACUGGUUUUCAACGACAGUAAAUUUUGAGCUUCAUCUGAGUUAUGGAGAACAAUCCCGCUACACGUACACGCCACUUUACCUGCCAGGUUACACAGUGACGUGGCGAAAGAAAACGUAUUAAUGGGUUAAUGGGUAACAUGUCUUGAACCGGCCCAAAGUGAAGAAACCCGCUUAUGCUCACAUUUCUUCAGUUUCUCAGUUGCCCCAAGGCAGAAAACCCUCUCUACCGAACGAACUGAUGCGAGGAGAUCUGCAGCUGCGCUCCACCUUAUUGAGAAGACGAUGAUAAAUAUUGUGGUCAUCUCCAUGAUUUUGUUUUCCACCAGAAGUUAAGCGCACGGUUGUGAGGAAAAAAUAUUUAGCCGCAAGAUUAGGGCAAAAUCGCCCGUCCCUGAGGCCUUCUUCUCCGGCGAUAUCUUGAGCAAUAUUAUGUAAGUAGAAAAUUUGGGCAUUUCUUUUUACUGUGGGGAAGUAAUUUAUGUUUUAAGAAAAGGAAAAAUCUCACUGUCAGCCCUACUUCUUCGAAGAACCCGACGUACUGGGCUGCAUAGUUUCUUGCUCCAUUUCAAAUACAAACAAGGUUCGAAUAUAUGAUAAUCUAGGCUAGUUUUGAACAUAUGGCAGUCUGGGCUGCAAAGUUUCGAACUUCAUUAGUAUGCCUUUCAAUCUCGAGUCAUUCCAUUGUUUGGAGAUGGUGAAUGUACGUAAUUUGUGUGAAUAAUAAUCAAUAGGAAUAAAAUCUACUUGUAAACUGUUAGAAAUAUUUAUUUUAGGCAUAAUCUCAGACAGUGUGUAUUUGAUAGGCAUAAUCUCAGACAAUGUGUAUAAUGUUGAAGCCCUUUUGUUUUCUUCUGGUGGCAUGUAAAGAGUGGGUUGAAUGUGUAAGUUUGUUACUGUUAUUAUUGAUAUGGUUCUUGACAUUCAUGUUUGGUUUGAAAUUCGGUUUUUGUGAAUAUCUUGAUUCCACUGAGCAAGGGGAUUUUGUUAAAAAUGUUGUUUAAUGUAGUGUAAUCUGUGUGUCGUUUGUGUGUAGUAUGCCGGGAAAGAACUUCGGACUUUGUCAUAGCUGUAGAGGGAAGGGUCACUUGUUUGCGGAUUGCCCAAACAAAAGGCGAUGCCCCUUGUGUAAAUGUGGAAUUGUGAAGUGCUUUGAGGUCGAGAGGGAGACAAAGAACAAGGGAAGAUUGUUCGAGUGCUGCAGAGCUAAUUGUAAAUAUUGGGCAUGGGUCGAUGAGGGAGAAUCAAGUAGUGGGUCAAGUAAUGUUACUGCGAACUCGAAUAAUCAUGCAGCACUUGACGAUGUUCAGCAGUUCUCUCGCAUGUUCCAGUCUCUUUGUCACGUGGUGUCUAAGGAACGAAACAUUGAGAUUUCUUUAAAUGUGACAAUAAGGAGUGGCAACGAAAGUGCGGAAGUGGAUGUGAAAGGGAAGGGGCCAGCAUGAUUUGUGGGUAGCUGAAUAAGUGAUUAGUGUAGUUGAUGUAUUUUGUUAAUAUUGGUGUUUGCACUAAGGUGUUGGCCAGAAAAUUAUUCCUCGCAAAUGGUCAUGUUGUUGUCUUCGUGUUAUGAAUUUUGC
rnacentral:lncRNA from 1 species